AAAAAGAUAAGCUAAAGAAGCUAAUGGGCUCAUACCUCAUUUAUGGGAUAAUUCCUCUUUUUG
rnacentral:tRNA from 1 species